rnacentral:rRNA from 1 species
CGACUACGAGUUUGAUCAUGGCUCAGAGUGAACGCUGGCGGCAGGCCUAACACAUGCAAGUCGAGCGGCAGCGCGGGGGCAACCCUGGCGGCGAGCGGCGGACGGGUGAGGAAUGCAUCGGAAUCUACCUCGUUGUGGGGGAUAACCUCGGGAAACCGGGACUAAUACCGCAUACGACCUACGGGUGAAAGUGGGGGGACCUUCGGGCCUCACGCGAUGAGAUGAGCCGAUGCCGGAUUAGCUAGUUGGCGGGGUAAAGGCCCACCAAGGCGACGAUCCGUAGCUGGUCUGAGAGGAUGAUCAGCCACACUGGAACUGAGACACGGUCCAGACUCCUACGGGAGGCAGCAGUGGGGAAUAUUGGACAAUGGGCGCAAGCCUGAUCCAGCCAUGCCGCGUGUGUGAAGAAGGCCUUCGGGUUAUAAAGCACUUUUGUUGGGGAAGAAACCGGCCGGAUUAAUACUUCGGCUGAAUGACGGUACCCAAAGAAUAAGCACCGGCUAACUUCGUG